rnacentral:rRNA from 1 species
GACGAACGCUGGCGGCGUGCUUAACACAUGCAAGUCGAACGGAAAGGCCCUGCUUUUGUGGGGUGCUCGAGUGGCGAACGGGUGAGUAACACGUGAGUAACCUGCCCUUGACUUUGGGAUAACUUCAGGAAACUGGGGCUAAUACCGGAUAGGAGCUCCUGCUGCAUGGUGGGGGUUGGAAAGUUUCGGCGGUUGGGGAUGGACUCGCGGCUUAUCAGCUCGUUGGUGGGGCAGUGGCUUACCAAGGCUUUGACGGGUAGCCGGCCUGAGAGGGUGACCGGCCACAUUGGGACUGAGGUACGGCCCAGACUCCUACGGGAGGCAGCAGUGGGGAAUAUUGCACAAUGGGCGGAAGCCUGAUGCAGCAACGCCGCGUGCGGGAUGACGGCCUUCGGGUUGUAAACCGCUUUCGCCUGUGACGAAGCGUGAGUGACGGUAAUGGGUAAAGAAGCACCGGCUAACUACGUG